rnacentral:pre_miRNA from 1 species
GUGUCCUUGGUCCAACGCUAUUCUUAAUAUAUAUUAAUGAAUUGUGUAAUCUUGAAUGCGUUGGGGGAAGGAUAUUC